GAGUUGAUGAGGUGCUUGCACCUCUGAUACUUAGCGGCGGACGGGUGAGUAACACGUGGGUAACCUGCCUAUAAGACUGGGAUAACAUUCGGAAACGAAUGCUAAUACCGGAUACGCGGUUUGGUCGCAUGACCGAAUCGGGAAAGAUGGAGCAAUCUAUCACUUAUAGAUGGACCCGCGGCGCAUUAGCUAGUUGGUGAGGUAACGGCUCACCAAGGCGACGAUGCGUAGCCGACCUGAGAGGGUGAUCGGCCACACUGGGACUGAGACACGGCCCAGACUCCUACGGGAGGCAGCAGUAGGGAAUCUUCCGCAAUGGACGAAAGUCUGACGGAGCAACGCCGCGUGAGUGAUGAAGGUUUUCGGAUCGUAAAGCUCUGUUGCCAGGGAAGAAUGCUUGGGAGAGUAACUGCUCUCAAGGUGACGGUACCUGAGAAGAAAGCCCCGGCUAACUACGUGCCAGCAGCCGCGGUAAUACGUAGGGGGCAAGCGUUGUCCGGAAUUAUUGGGCGUAAAGCGCGCGCAGGCGGCCUUGUAAGUCUGUUGUUUAAACUUGGGGCUCAACCCCAAGUCGCAAUGGAAACUGCAAAGCUUGAGUGCAGAAGAGGAAAGUGGAAUUCCACGUGUAGCGGUGAAAUGCGUAGAGAUGUGGAGGAACACCAGUGGCGAAGGCGACUUUCUGGUGCUGUAACUGACGCUGAGGCGCGAAAGCGUGGGGAG
rnacentral:rRNA from 1 species